rnacentral:rRNA from 1 species
CACGUAGGGCGCAAGCGUUUGUCCGGAAUUAUUGGGCGUAAAGAGCUCGUAGGCGGUCUGUUGCGUCCGCUGUGAAAACUCGGGGCUUAACCCCGAGCCUGCAGUGGAUACGGGCAGACUAGAGGUAGGUAGGGGAGAAUGGAAUUCCCGGUGUAGCGGUGAAAUGCGCAGAUAUCGGGAGGAACACCGGUGGCGAAGGCGGGUCUCUGGGCAGUAACUGACGCUGAGGAGCGAAAGCGUGGGGAGCGAACAGG